GCGAGUGAAGCGGGAAGAGCUCAAAUUUAAAAUCUGGCGGCUUUGCCGUCCCGAGUUGUAAUUUAGAGAAGCGUUUUCCGCGCCGGACCGUGUACAAGUCUCCUGGAACGGAGCGUCAUAGAGGGUGAGAAUCCCUGUCUUUGACACGGACCCCCCGGUGCUCUGUGAUACGCUCUCGAAGAGUCGAGUUGUUUGGGAAUGCAGCUCAAAAUGGGUGGUGAACUCCAUCUAAAGCUAAAUAUUGGCGAGAGACCGAUAGCGAACAAAGUACCGUGAGGGAAAGAUGAAAAGCACUUUGGAAAGAGAGUGAAACAGUACGUGAAAUUGCUGAAAGGGAAACGCUUGAAGUCAGUCGCGUCUGCCAGAAUUCAGCCUUAUGGUGUAUUUUCUGACAGACGGGCCAGCAUCACUUUCGAUUGCCGGAAAAAGGCAGAGGGAAUGUGGCACCUCUUCGGAGGUGUGUUAUAGCCCUUUGUCGUAUACGGUGGUUGGGAGUGAGGACCGCCUAUUUUGUAGGAUGCUGGCGUAAUGGCUUUAAACGACCCGUCUUGAAACACGGACCAAGGAGUCUAACAUGCCCGCGAGUGUUCGGGUGGAAAACCCGUGCGCGUAAUGAAAGUGAAAGUUGGGAAGGCUGUCGCGGCCUGCACCGACGCCCGGACCUGAGAUUUAUCGACGGUUCUGCGGUAGAGCGUGUAUGUUGGGACCCGAAAGAUGGUGAACUAUGCCUGAAUAGGGUGAAGCCAGAGGAAACUCUGGUGGAGGCUCUAGCGAUUCUGACGUGCAAAUCGAUCGUCAAAUUUGGGUAUAGGGGCGAAAG
rnacentral:rRNA from 1 species